rnacentral:rRNA from 1 species
CCUACGGGAGGCAGCAGUGAGGAAUAUUGGUCAAUGGGCGGGAGCCUGAACCAGCCAAGCCGCGUGAGGGAAGAAGGUACAGCGUAUCGUAAACCUCUUUUGUCAGGGAACAAAGGCGGGGACUAGUCCCCGGAUGAGGGUACCUGAAGAAAAAGCAUCGGCAAACUCCGUGCCAGCAGCCGCGGUAAUACGGAGGAUGCGAGCGUUAUCCGGAGUUAUUGGGGUAAAAGGGUGCGCAGGCGGCCUGUUAAGUCAGCGGUAAAAGCCCGGGGCUCAACCCCGGAGAGCCGUUGAAACUGGAGGGCUGGAGUUGGGGAGAAGUAAGCGGAAUGCGCGGUGUAGCGGUGAAAUGCGUAGAUAUCGCGAAGAAC